rnacentral:lncRNA from 1 species
UGGACAAGCUAGUUUAUUGGACAAUAUUAUUUUUAAGUCCAAAUUGGACCAUGUCCAAACUGUCCAGACCAAAUUGGACCAUUCCAAAUGGGCAUUCCGCGAGGCCCAAUUAAAAAAACAGUGUUAAAAUACAAAAAAUUAUAUGCAACAUAAUUUCACUACAUUUCAUGGAGUUUAAAAAUAUAGAUAAAGUUCAUACAUCAUCCAAUGGCCUAAAUAAGCUUCAUACAUACAUAGAUUAGGUUCAUACAUUAUUCAAACUCCAAAGCAUAGAUUAGGUUCAUACAUUAUUCAAACAACAGAACGUCUUCUACAUUGAAUUGUGUCAGUUUCUAAGUGAUUAAACCAGAAACACAAUUACAGCUACAGCUCGUUUCUAAGUGAUUAUACCUUUAAUUGUGUCGAGUCUUCUUCUUCUUUCCAUUUCCUUCUGCUUCCUCAUUGGCAUCUUCCUGAACUUCCUCAUCUAAAUCGCAUCCAGCUAUCAAAAACAAGAAGUUCAAUCAAUAAUUUCACAUAUCAAAGCUCAAUUAUAAAUUCCACAAACUCACCAAUCA